rnacentral:misc_RNA from 1 species
UGGCUCUCGCAUCGAUGAAGAACGCAGCGAAAUGCGAUAAGUAAUGUGAAUUGCAGAAUUCAGUGAAUCAUCGAAUCUUUGAACGCACCUUGCGCCUCUUGGUCUUCUGAGAGGCAUGCCUGUUUGAGUGUCAUCAAAUCAUCGAACCCGAAAGGUCGCUCGCGGCCUCUCGGUGCUCGGACUCUGGGGUGUGCGAGGAGGAGUAGUCGUCUCGGGCGCUGCUCAUCCUCGCUCCUCUCGAAAUGCAUCAGCAGACGUUCACUUGUGGACCUGAUCCGGCGUGAUAGAUUGACGUCGUUCGGUCUCUGCGGGACUCUGCUUCGAGCCGUCGCCUCGCGCGACAGUCUUCUCUGACGAUUCGACCUCAAAUCAGGUAGGACUACCCGCUGA